GACGAACGCUGGCGGCGUGCUUAACACAUGCAAGUCGAGCGGUAAGGCCCUUUCGGGGGUACACGAGCGGCGAACGGGUGAGUAACACGUGGGUGACCUGCCCUCAGCUCUGGGAUAAGCCUGGGAAACCGGGUCUAAUACCGGAUAUGACUCCAUGACGCAUGUUGUGGGGUGGAAAGCCUUGUGCGGCUGAGGAUGGGCCCGCGGCCUAUCAGCUUGUUGGUGGGGUGANGGCCUACCAAGGCGACGACGGGUAGCCGGCCUGAGAGGGCGACCGGCCACACUGGGACUGAGACACGGCCCAGACUCCUACGGGGGCAGCAGUGGGGAAUCUUGCGCAAUGGGCGAAAGCCUGACGCAGCGACGCCGCGUGAGGGAUGACGGCCUGG
rnacentral:rRNA from 1 species